rnacentral:rRNA from 1 species
UACGUAGGGGGCUAGCGUUGUCCGGAAUCAUUGGGCGUAAAGCGCGUGUAGGCGGCCCAGUAAGUCCGCUGUGAAAGUCGGGGGCUCAACCCUCGAAAGCCGGUGGAUACUGUCAGGCUAGAGUACGGAAGAGGCGAGUGGAAUUCCUGGUGUAGCGGUGAAAUGCGCAGAUAUCAGGAGGAACACCCAUUGCGAAGGCAGCUCGCUGGGACGUUACUGACGCUGAGACGCGAAGCGUGGGGAGCAAACAGG